UGUGAAUUAGCGGCGAACGGGUGAGGAACACGUGAGAAAUCUGCCUUCAACACUGGGAUAACUCCGGGAAACCGGGGCUAAUACCGGAUAUGAAAUCUGCGGGCAUCCGCGGAUUUGGAAAGUUUUUCGGUUGAAGAUGAUCUCGCGGCCUAUCAGCUUGUUGGUGAGGUAAUGGCUCACCAAGGCGACGACGGGUAGCCGGCCUGAGAGGGCGACCGGCCACACUGGGACUGAGACACGGCCCAGACUCCUACGGGAGGCAGCAGUGGGGAAUAUUGGGCAAUGGAGGAAACUCUGACCCAGCGACGCCGCGUGCGGGAUGAAGGCCUUCGGGUUGUAAACCGCUUUCAGCAGGGAAGAAGCGAAAGUGACGGUACCUGCAGAAGAAGCACCGGCUAACUAUGUGCCAGCAGCCGCGGUAAUACAUAGGGUGCAAGCGUUGUCCGGAAUUAUUGGGCGUAAAGAGCUCGUAGGUGGCUCGUCACGUCGGAUGUGAAACUCUGGGGCUUAACCCCAGACCUGCAUUCGAUACGGGCGAGCUUGAGUAUGGUAGGGGAGUCUGGAAUUCCUGGUGUAGCGGUGGAAUGCGCAGAUAUCAGGAGGAACACCAAUGGCGAAGGCAGGACUCUGGGCCAUUACUGACACUGAGGAGCGAAAGCGUGGGGAGCGAACAGGAUUAGAUACCCUGGUAGUCCACGCCGUAAACGGUGGGCACUAGUUGUGGGGACCUUCCACGGUCUCUGCGACGCAGCUAACGCAUUAAGUGCCCCGCCU
rnacentral:rRNA from 1 species